rnacentral:rRNA from 1 species
UACGGGGGGGGCAAGCGUUGUUCGGAAUUACUGGGCGUAAAGGGCUCGUAGGCGGCCAACUAAGUCGGACGUGAAAUCCCUCGGCUUAACCGGGGAACUGCGUCCGAUACUGGAUGGCUCGAGUGUGGGAGAGGGAUGCGGAAUUCCAGGUGUAGCGGUGAAAUGCGUAGAUAUCUGGAGGAACACCGGUGGCGAAGGCGGUAUCCUGGACCACGACUGACGCUGAUGAGCGAAAGCCAGGGGAGCAAACGGG